UACAGAGGCUUCGAGCGUUAGGCGGAAUCACUGGGCUUAAAGCGUGUGUAGGCGGACUUCUAAGUACCUUGUGAAAUCCCACGGCUCACCCGUGGAACUGCUCGGUAUACUGGUCGUCUUGAGCCUUCUAGGGGCGAGUGGAACAAAUGGUGGAGCGGUGAAAUGCGUAGAUAUCAUUUGGAACGCCAAUGGUGAAAACAACUCGCUGGGGAAGUGCUGACGCUGAGACACGAAAGCCAGGGGAGCGAACGGG
rnacentral:rRNA from 1 species